ACUUUUUUGCUACUCUCUAGGGCAGAUCGCGGCGUUCGGAAAGUGGAUGGAUGGAAACCGAAAGUAAGAAAGGAGGAUUUUUUGCGCAGGCGGUAGAGCAGAGAGUUGAUUUGGAGUGCUCAACGCAUUUGCACACGGUUUAGAG
ensembl:ncRNA ZK617.24 ncRNA